rnacentral:rRNA from 1 species
AAAUUAGAGGAAGUAAAAGUCGUAACAAGGUCUCCGUUGGUGAACCAGCGGAGGGAUCAUUACCGAGUUUACAACUCCCAAACCCAUGUGAACAUACCUAUUGUUGCUUCGGCGGGAUUGCCCCGGGCGCCUCGUGUGCCCCGGAUCAGGCGCCCGCCUAGGAAACUCAACUCUUGUUUUAUUUUGGAAUCUUCUGAGUAGUUUUUACAAAUAAAUAAAAACUUUCAACAACGGAUCUCUUGGUUCUGGCAUCGAUGAAGAACGCAGCGAAAUGCGAUAAGUAAUGUGAAUUGCAGAAUUCAGUGAAUCAUCGAAUCUUUGAACGCACAUUGCGCCCGCCAGUAUUCUGGCGGGCAUGCCUGUCUGAGCGUCAUUUCAACCCUCAUGCCCCUAGGGCGUGGUGUUGGGGAUCGGCCAAAGCCCGCGAGGGACGGCCGGCCCCUAAAUCUAGUGGCGGACCCGUCGUGGCCUCCUCUGCGAAGUAGUGAUAUUCCGCAUCGGAGAGCGACGAGCCCCUGCCGUUAAACCCCCAACUUUCUAAGGUUGACCUCAGAUCAGGUAGGAAUACCCGCUGAACUUAAGCAUAUCAAUAAGCCGGAGGAAC